GCCCUUUGGGAGGUAUAUUAUUUCUGUCCCUGUGGAUUCCCUUCCCUCUGUGACAACUCAGUUAUGUUCUCCCAAGUUGUAGAGGAUAUGAAGAUGGAGAAAGGGUUUUUAAAAACGGCUCUCUAAGAUGGAUGCAAUUACCACCAAUUUAUCCUGCAUUUUCAGGAAUUCAAUACCUCCAGCUCCAGUUCCUCUGUGGAGUACUUCAUCAUCUGGCAUGUGACCUCA